AUAGCGUAUAUUAAAGUUGUUGCGGUUAAAAAGCUCGUAGUUGGAUUUCUGUUGAGGACGGCCGGUCCGCACUAUGUGCGUGUAUCUGGUUCGGCCUCGGCAUCCUCUUGAGGAACGUUUCUGCGCUUGAUUGCGUGGAGCGGUAUUCAAGACUUUUACUUUGAGGAAAUUAGAGUGUUCACGGCAGGCAAGCGCCUUGAAUAUGUUAGCAUGGAAUAAUAAUAUAGGAUCUUGGUUCUAUUUGUUGGUUUCUAGGGCUAAGGUAAUGAUUAAUAGGGAUAAUUGGGGGCAUUUGUAUUAACGCGUCAGAGGUGGAAUUCUUGGAUUGCGUUACGACAAACUACUGCGAAAGCAUUUGCCAAGGAUGUUUUCAUUGAUCAAGAACGAAAGUAUGGGGAUCGAAGAUGAUUAGAUACCGUCGUAGUCUAUACCAUAAACUAUGCCGACUAGGGAUUGGAGGUCGUUCUUUUUAUGACUCCUUCAGCACCUUAUGAGAAAUCAAAGUCUUUGGGUUCCGGGGGGAGUAUAGUCGCAAGGCUGAAACUUAAA
rnacentral:rRNA from 1 species